GCCAGUGUAGUAUAGUCGUUUGGGCAUUGGACUAAAAAUCUUAGAGACCAGGGUUUGAAUCCCUGCUCAGCCA